GAAGGAAUAACGCUAUGAACGGUUCCCUCCUAAGGGGCAGGUUAUUGGUUCGAAUCCAAUCGGGGUCACCA
rnacentral:tRNA from 1 species